rnacentral:rRNA from 1 species
AUAUCGUGGAGGUAUGCUUUACACAUGCAAGUCGAACGAAAGCUUUAGCUUUAGUGGCGAACGGGUGAGUAACACGUAAGAAUCUACCUUUAGGAGGGAAAUAACAAUUGGAAACAUUUGCUAAUAUCCCAUAAGCUGAAAAGUAAAAUAUUUUUUGCCUAAAGAUGAGCUUGCGCCUGAUUAGCUAGUUGGUGAGGUAAUGGCUUACCAAGGCCACGAUCAGUAGCUGGUUUGAGAGGAUGAUCAGCCACAUUGGAACUGAGACACGGUCCAGACUUUUACGGAAGGCAGCAGUGGGGAAUUUUCCGCAAUGGGCGCAAGCCUGACGGAGCAAUACCGCGUGAAGGAUGAAUGCCUGUGGGUUGUAAACUUCUUUUAUUAGGGAAGAAAAAAAUGACGGUACCUAAUGAAUAAGCAUCGGCUAACUCCGUGCCAGCAGCCGCGGUAAUACGGGGGAUGCAAGCGUUAUCCGGAAUCAUUGGGCGUAAAGAGUCUGUAGGUUGUUUAGUAAGUCUGCUGUUAAAUGUUAGAGCUUAACUCUAAAAAAGCAGUGGAAACUACUAAACUAGAGUGUGGUAGAGGCAAAGGGAAUUCCCAGUGUAGCGGUGAGAUGCGUAGAUAUUGGGAAGAACACCAGAGCGAAAGCGCUUUGCUGGGCCAUCACUGACACUAAGAGACGAAAGCUAGGGGAGCAAAUGGGAUUAGAUACCCCAGUAGUCCUAGCCGUAAACGAUGGAUACUAGAUGUUGCGCGUAUCGAUCCGUGCAGUAUCGUAGCUAACGCGUUAAGUAUCCCGCCUGGGAAGUACGCUCGCAAGAGUGAAACUCAAAUGAUUGACGG